rnacentral:rRNA from 1 species
UACGAAGGGGGCUAGCGUUGCUCGGAAUCACUGGGCGUAAAGCGCACGUAGGCGGAUGCUAAGUCAGGGGUGAAAUCCUGGAGCUCAACUCCAGAACUGCCUUUGAUACUGGCGACCUUGAGUCCGGGAGAGGUGAGUGGAACUGCGAGUGUAGAGGUGAAAUUCGUAGAUAUUCGGAAGAACACCAGUGGCGAAGGCGGCUCACUGGACUGGUAUUGACGCUGAGGUGCGAAAAGCGUGGGGAGCAAACAGG